AGAUGUUUGUGCCGAGAUAUUUGUGUCGUUACUGUGUGUCGGAUGUACGAGAGAUUUUAACGACAAUUAUUUAAUUUAUCAAUUUGAUAAUACGAUGCAAGGACAAAUUGACUAUCAACAAUUUGUUUUGCUGUCUUGAUGUCUCUUGUUUUCGACGUUCAGUGACGUAUAUUAACUUAUUUGUAAAGCGUGGCUGAGGAUGACCGUAAUCGACGGUCGAAACGUUCCACAAGAAAUCACUUCAUUCCACACUAAGUUUAUUUAUUAUACUGCCACCAUCUGCAGUCCAAAGACAGGAAGGUCUAUUUUCUAUCUACAUUUUA